AGAGUUUGAUCAUGGCUCAGAACGAACGCUGGCGGCAGGCUUAACACAUGCAAGUCGAGCGCCCCGCAAGGGGAGCGGCAGACGGGUGAGUAACGCGUGGGAAUCUACCCAUCUCUACGGAACAACUCCGGGAAACUGGAGCUAAUACCGUAUACGUCCUUCGGGAGAAAGAUUUAUCGGAGAUGGAUGAGCCCGCGUUGGAUUAGCUAGUUGGUGGGGUAAUGGCCUACCAAGGCGACGAUCCAUAGCUGGUCUGAGAGGAUGAUCAGCCACACUGGGACUGAGACACGGCCCAGACUCCUACGGGAGGCAGCAGUGGGGAAUAUUGGACAAUGGGCGAAAGCCUGAUCCAGCCAUGCCGCGUGAGUGAUGAAGGCCCUAGGGUUGUAAAGCUCUUUCAACGGUGAAGAUAAUGACGGUAACCGUAGAAGAAGCCCCGGCUAACUUCGUGCCAGCAGCCGCGGUAAUACGAAGGGGGCUAGCGUUGUUCGGAAUUACUGGGCGUAAAGCGCACGUAGGCGGAUACUUAAGUCAGGGGUGAAAUCCCGGGGCUCAACCCCGGAACUGCCUUUGAUACUGGGUAUCUCGAGUCCGGAAGAGGUGAGUGGAAUUCCGAGUGUAGAGGUGAAAUUCGUAGAUAUUCGGAGGAACACCAGUGGCGAAGGCGGCUCACUGGUCCGGUACUGACGCUGAGGUGCGA
rnacentral:rRNA from 1 species